rnacentral:tRNA from 1 species
CAGGGAGACAACAAAAUGUUUAAUAUUAUUAUUUUGUCACCUUAGGUCGAUCGGUAUCUCACGUUCUUAAUUCGUUAAGAAUUUCAUUUCCUAAGUUUUUCUAGGUCACACCCAUUAUUUUUCCUGGGCCAUUAGCUCAGGUGGUUAGAGCGCACCCCUGAUAAGGGUGAGGUCCCUGGUUCAAGUCUAGGAUGGCCCAUAUCUCUAUGUUGGGGGUAUAGCUCAGUUGGUAGAGCGCCUGCUUUGCAAGCAGGAUGUCAGCGGUUCGAGUCCGCUUACCUCCACUGAUUACCACCUCUUCCAUAACCGAUAGAAAGGAAAUGUUUUGAGUUGUGAUCAUUAUUCUGAACGAAUCUAGCUUCCUAAUGAAAUCAUUAAGAUGCUGGACUCAUUGAAUUAAUUUCAUUGUUUUCAGAGAACCUUGACAACUGCAUAGAUUAUUUUUAAAGACAAUAAGCAUCUUUAAUGAUGCAGAUUUAUUAUUUGUGCGAAUGCAUUAAUAACAAUUCUAUUAAGCUGAUGCUUCAAUUUUUGAAGUUAUU